rnacentral:rRNA from 1 species
CUGUCCCUACGGGACGCAGCAGUAAGGGAUAUUGGUCAAUGGGGGAAACCCUGAACCAGCAACGCCGCGUGAGGGAAGACGGUUUUCGGAUUGUAAACCUCUGUCCUCUGUGAAGAUGAUGACGGUAGCAGAGGAGGAAGCCACGGCUAACUACGUGCCAGCAGCCGCGGUAAUACGUAGGUGGCAAGCGUUAUCCGGAUUUACUGGGUGUAAAGGGCGUGUAGGCGGGGACGCAAGUCAGAUGUGAGAACCACGGGCUCAACCUGUGGCC